rnacentral:rRNA from 1 species
AGCAGCCGCGGUAAUUCCAGCUCCAAUAGCGUAUAUUAAAGUUGUUGCAGUUAAAAAGCUCGUAGUUGAAUUUCGGGGUUAGCAGGUCGGUCGUGCCAUCGGUAUGAACUGGUCUCGCUGAUCCCUCCCUCUUGACGAACUGUGAUGCCAUUAAUUUGGUGUCGCAGGGAAUCAGGACUGUUACUUUGAAAAAGUUAGAGUGUUUAAAGCAGGCUCACGCUUGAAUACAUUAGCAUGGAAUAAUGAAAUAGGACGUUUGAUCCUAUUUUGUUGGCUUCUAGGAUUGACGUAAUGAUUAAUAGGGAUAGUUGGGGGCAUUAGUAUUCAAUUGUCAGAGGUGAAAUUCUUGGAUUUAUUGAAGACUAACUACUGCGAAAGCAUUUGCCAAGGAUGUUUUCAUUAAUCAAGAACGAAAGUUAGGGGAUCGAAGACGAUCAGAUACCGUCGUAGUCUUAACCAUAAACUAUGCCGACUAGGGAUCGGAUGAUGUUAAUUUUUAAUGA